GAUGAACGCUGGCGGCGUGCCUAAUACAUGCAAGUCGAGCGAACAGAUGAGGAGCUUGCUCCUCUGACGUUAGCGGCGGGCGGGUGAGUAACACGUGGAUAACCUACCUAUAAGACUGGGAUAACUUCGGGAAACCGGAGCUAAUACCGGAUAAUAUAUUGAACCGCAUGGUUCAAUAGUGAAAGACGGUUUUGCUGUCACUUAUAGAUGGAUCCGCGCCGCAUUAGCUAGUUGGUAAGGUAACGGCUUACCAAGGCAACGAUGCGUAGCCGACCUGAGAGGGUGAUCGGCCACACUGGAACUGAGACACGGUCCAGACUCCUACGGGAGGCAGCAGUAGGGAAUCUUCCGCAAUGGGCGAAAGCCUGACGGAGCAACGCCGCGUGAGUGAUGAAGGUCUUCGGAUCGUAAAACUCUGUUAUUAGGGAAGAACAAAUGUGUAAGUAACUAUGCACGUCUUAACGGUACCUAAUCAGAAAGCCACGGCUAACUACGUG
rnacentral:rRNA from 1 species